rnacentral:rRNA from 1 species
GUCUAGAGGCUUCGGCAAUGGGGGCAACCCUGACCGAGCGACGCCGCGUGUGGGAUUGAAGGCGUUUUCGUUGUAAACCACUGUGGAGCGGGAAGAAUGCCCUGAUGGUGAAUCAGGGAGGGACGGUACCGCUCUAGAAAGCCCCGGCUAACUCCGUGCCAGCAGCCGCGGUAAUACGGGGGGGGCAAGCGUUGUUCGGAUUUACUGGGCGUAAAGGGAGUGUAGGCGGUUGAUCAAGUCUGAUGUGAAAGCUUUACCACUCAACGGAAAGAUGUCAUCGGAUACUGGUCGGCUGGAGUGGGGUAGAGGCAAGCGGAAUUCCUGGUGUAGCGGUGGAAUGUGUAGAUAUCAGGAAGAACAUCUGUGGCGAAGGCGGCUUGCUGGGCCCUUACUGACGCUGAGACUCGAAAGCGUGGGGAGCAAACGGGAUUAGAUACCCGAGUAGUCC